UACGCCCAAGCCUAUGUGCUUCACCGCUGCGCCGCCAUGCGCCGCCCGCGGAUACCACAUUUCUAGGUACUUUUAAAGCCCCUUGGUACUUUUUCGCUGAAGAGCCACGGCACGCGCCCUAGAUCCUUCUAGGUACAUUUGGUUUUGCGUCCCUGCCUGUGUCUGGGCGCGCAGGAUACUCGGGCCAGCCUGCAUUUGCAGAGUUUAGGCGGUGUAGUGCAUCUACAAUGGCCGCACGAUGUCCCAUUCCGGAAUCGGAGAUAAGAAAGUACGCGGAAGCGAGUCCCUGCCUCGACGUGCAGCGGAAACUGUCCGCGUUGCAGCGUUUUCUGGUGAAGUUGAAGGCCAGCGGCGCUAACCUGCUCCUGCCUUGCGGAAAGACCGAAAGCGACGAUCUGCCGGACUGCUGGAUUGGAUCGAAUGUGGUCGCUCUUAACAGCGUGCUCCUGAGUGUCUCUUUGGAACUGCGCGAGGACAAACCGGGUGUACUGUCACUGGUCACUUUAGUGGCGAGACGCAGAGCCGAGCUUCCUGAUGCAGCACUGUCUGACGCAGCUUUUCUUGUGCACUGGCUCUUAUGCUACCACCGCUGUGUGCGAACGGUUCAACUGGAGUUCGACACAGUCCUUUGUCUUAGUGCGCCAACUGUCGUCGCUGGGGCACUGCGACGAGGAUCAAGCGUGGUGUGUCUCAGGCUCAGCACAGGCAGUGUGGCGGAGAGAACACAGGCACAACCAGUUUUGACAUCUGUGCUUGAGUCCAUGGUCAAUCUGGAAGUACUGGACCUAGGUGGAGUGACUCUAAACUACGCAACCGUGGAUGGCGUUGUAGCAGUACUGAAGAGUGGCCGCCUACGUACUUUGGUCCUCGGUACCUGCCCACAGGGCAAGAAGGUUGCCCUCAGGCUUUCACGCGCCGUGAGGAAAUGCGCAGGUCUUGCUUUGCUUGCCGUAAACGGCAGAGUAAGAAGCUUCCCUGAAAUCCCGUCUCUUCUGCAGACAAACACUACCCUGUGGAGCGUAUCGCUGUCAGGGGUGUCAGGGGAGCUCGCCGGAGAAGUACUGCUUUGCUUGGCGCGCAACGGUACCCUCGAAGAACUCUGCCUCAGCGACGCCGCCUUGGGUGAUUUUCCGGUGACAAUUGAACACAUCUACAGGUUCGCCGAGAACCGGCACCUUAGGGUCCUGAAAUUAACACGCCUGGAACUCGGCGACGCUGCUGCUAUGGCGUUCGCAGAGUUGCUCCGCGAGAACGUGACUUUAGAAGAAGUGGACUUCUCUGGUAGCUGCGUAGGAGAUUUCGGCGCGCAUGCAUUGGCCGAAGCCCUGACAGUGAACAGGUCGUUGAAGACACUGUGGUUGGAGCAGAGUCAACUCACCGACCGCGCAGUAGAAACGUUUGCUAGAGCUCUCUCGCUGAAUGAGUGCGUCGAGAGGGUUAGCUUGGGGAUUGUGGCCUUGUGCGAAGAAUGGUGUCUGCCUGCGGACGUCUGCGACUUCAACAAGCUUUGCGGGCGCUUGGAAGUGACGUGGAACACGUGGGGACUCGAACGGAUGAGCAGCUGCUUGAGCAGUGUGAGCAGGGAGCAUCCGUUACGCGCCAGGGCGCGACCGAUUAAGCUGUGCUGGACUCGCCAAGCAACCAUUGGUGGUGUUCGUGCUCUUUUCGCCACUGCGUCCAGUUUAACCUUUCUUAACGAGCUAGUCGUUGCCAAUAUGCACUCCGAUGAGCAGGGCUUCGCAGAAGCCAUCGCCGAGUUACUGGUCUCGACCAACGCGCUCAAGAAGCUAGAGAUACGCGAGUUGACCGGCGCCAACAACAUCGUGCGAGUUAUUCUGAAUGCUUUGGCGCGAAAUUCUACUGUAUGCUACGCUUAUUUUUCUUGUAGUUUAGGUGCCGCCGGCGUCGCCAACGCUUUGAAGGCGGUGCUAAAUACCAACGUCACGCUUCACUGUAUUAGGUUUCGGAGUCUUUACAUGCGUGACAUACCUUUGGCCAGAUUCGUCCAGGGCAUUAGAGGCAACAACGUCCUCACCGACUUCUCGUUCGACACCGUGCCAAAUAAAGAAGACGUGCAAGGUUUGUGGAGCUUGCUGUGGCGGAACAGGUGCCUCCUCAGUCGAGCUGUGAAACACACUCGGGGUAUUUCAGUGGACAAGGAGUCCAUGGAGGCAUUCAGUACGCUCGCGGGCCGAGACUCUCUGAUCUGUGCGCUUAUCGAGGCUACCGGUAAGACGUCGGCUGAGUGCAAGGACAUUGUGAGCCGGGUGCUAUGCAAACAGGAAAAGACAACGCAAAUGGAAAUAACGAGUGUAUACCACCGCUGACUCAUCUUCAGGGCCUCGUGCUACGGCCCGUGUUUUCACUCCUGCACUGAAAUUUUUCAUAGCAGAACUCUACGGCUUGCAAAUAGUGCUUUGUCAUAGCCUUCGUUACCGUGUCCCCUCGCUUCUCUCCAUCGGGGUUUUGUGCUUCGGAUGACGAAUGUGUUGGAUGCCUCGAUAGCGCGCGUGUCAUCGUACCCCGUACUUACAUCGAGAUACACGAUUGCGCGUUGUCUGCCACCGUCCGCAGAGCACUGGGACUCGUUCCUUCGCCUCCGAAAUGGCUCAAUCUUGGGUGGUUCCGUUGAUAUCGUUUUUGACUGCGGUGGAAGAACGCCUUGCGAUUGGAAUCGGAGGAUGCGUAUCCGUCAAGCUCUUUCUUACCGGAGCGGUGAAGAUCCCCUUAUCGGCGAUGACUACGAGGCUGCUGUGCUUGGCAACCGUCUUCCUUGCCAUCGUAUUCGGGAGAAGUGAAAGCCGCUUUCUGCCAUUGCAGAACGACGGGGCCUUAACCCCAGGCGGAUGUGUGGACCCAACCGGUCAUAUCGUCAACGAAGGCUUCAGCAUCUCGAGAACACGUCCAUGCCAGCUCGAGACUUGCCGCAAUGGCACGUGGGAUAUAGCCAGGUGCAUCGAGGACGUGGAUCCGAAGUGCAAGGGGCAACUGGGAACCAGGGGACCGGGACCGUACCCGGACUGCUGUGCGCUUGCUGUGUACUGCGCCGGACACUGAGGCUCGGCCAAGGACAGCGCCGCAGCUCUCGAGAAACCGUGCUGUAACUGCGUCACCUUUGUUAAAAUCUCGUUCGAGGACUCCAAGACGACAUGUAAACGAUCUUUUCCCAUCCGCCCGCUUUAAAUUUUCUGCGGCAGCUCGUGAAAGAGAAAUGCCCCUCGGCUGAAGAUGCAAUCCCAAUCACGCUGUGCGCUAGCUAAACGUGCUAUUGGGCUCGGACAACUGCUUCAAGCGCGUCGUGUAAAUUGAAAAAACGCUGCAGGCAUCUUUUGCGCCCUCUAGUGCACUGAGUCAGUAUCAGUUCGGACGUGUUGGCCGAAUGUAAAACACGUAAAGCAAGAAAAAAAACGAAAAGAAAAAUGUUGUCGACUCCAUUUUCAUUUGUCGUCAGCCAUCCGUGUAAAUUUGGUGGAGAAUUCCCAAAGGGUUGUUUGCCAUUGGCCCGUCACCUUCGCUGAUAAAUACAACAUCAAGAUUGGCUGGCAGCUGCUUCUACGAGUACUUCCUUUUUGUGAGUACGAUUUCUGGUAUCUGAAAUGACCAACAUUUACCACAUAGAAAGGCAUAAACGCAUUAAGUCGAAGAAAAGGAACGUUCCUGGCAAUAAGGCUGCAGCUAUCGUGAUAAAUGCCAUUCUUUUUCCUAUACAGAUAGAUUCACGAGCGCAUCACCUGAUAAAAAGCACGAACCAUUCUGUCUCGUUUACUUUUUGUGCAAUGU